rnacentral:rRNA from 1 species
GGUAAUGCCGGAUGCUCCGGUUGGAUGCAUGUCCUUCCGGGAAAGAUCCAUCGGUAUGGGAUGGGGUCGCGUCCUAUCAGCUUGAUGGCGGGGUAACGGCCCACCAUGGCUUCGACGGGUAGCCGGCCUGAGAGGGCGACCGGCCACAUUGGGACUGAGAUACGGCCCAGACUCCUACGGGAGGCAGCAGUGGGGAAUAUUGCACAAUGGGCGCAAGCCUGAUGCAGCGACGCCGCGUGCGGGAUGGAGGCCUUCGGGUUGUAAACCGCUUUUGAUCGGGAGCAAGCCCUUCGGGGUGAGUGUACCUUUCGAAUAAGCACCGGCUAACUACGUGCCAGCAGCCGCGGUAAUACGUAGGGUGCAAGCGUUAUCCGGAAUUAUUGGGCGUAAAGGGCUCGUAGGCGGUUCGUCGCGUCCGGUGUGAAAGCCCAUCGCUUAACGGUGGGUCUGCGCCGGGUACGGGCGGGCUGGAGUGCGGUAGGGGAGACUGGAAUUCCCGGUGUAACGGUGGAAUGUGUAGAUAUCGGAAAAAAAACACCA